UACACUCCAACGCAGGAUGAAAAUUUGGGCGGAACAGUCAAAGGGCACUGUUGAGGCGAAUAUUUAAAGCAAAAUGGUAAAGUCGUGGGUUGAUAUUGAGUAGGGUGAGUCUCACUCCUUUGGUUGAGGAGCAGCAUGGCAGUUAAAAUUGGCCAAGGGUUCACUUACCAUGCACGUAAAGUUGAAGGGAAGCAGAGAGCAGUAGUUUGUCCCAGGACCGGGACGCAUCAAAUAACCUACUCCUUGCUUGCACGGCCAAGUAAGUCACCAUAUAUAAGAUGAAUUGGCAACAAACCCUUCUUUUUCUAUUUAGUGCAUUAAUUCAGGUAAUUUCAUCAGGGCAUGUUUCAAGAAUUUGAAUCAUUUUAAUUUUGUGAUUGGAAAUACUACGAUAGUUUCUGAUUCACUUA